rnacentral:tRNA from 1 species
CAAUUUAAAUCUUAAUUAGUUAAGUUUUUUAUUUACAUUAAAAAUAAAUUUGUGCAAAUCAAAUUAAAUUGA